GUGAGCUGUAGCUCAUGAAAGCUUAUGCUCAAAUAAAUUUGCUAGUCUCUAAGGUGCCACAAGUCCUCCUUUUCUUUUUGCGAAUACAGACUAACAUGACUGCUACUCUGAAACCCUUUCUAUGGUAAGCUUCCCUUUUUACACCCCUCCAGGCUGAACAAGCUGUGAAGAUACAUCUUGUUAGUGCAGCACAGGCCCAGAGGAGCUCAUUAGCCUCCUUCCUGGCCAGCGGGAGGCCGUGUUCCUUCACAGUAGCAGAUAAACCCAUGAAUGACAUCAGUUAUUGUUCAUCUAGAGGUGCCUUCUUUACCCUCUCAAGCACAGGAACGUUUUGUGGCAGAUCCCAAUUCAGACUUCCUUCGCAGAAGCUGCUGAGUCCUGCUUCCUCUGGACUCAUUUCAAAGCCACUUUCCCAGUAGCCUGGACUCGUACAGUCCCCAAUGCCACUGGAUGAUCUCUGGUGUCUUGAGACCCCAUUCCUGGCACUUUCACUGAGAUGCCGGAACAACCCACCUCUGGCCAGCUGGCUUCAACUCUCCCCUCCAACAUCCUCACUCAGCUGCUGACAUUUGAACAGACAUUCCAUGGUGGCUCCUAGCAACCAAAUGGGCCUUUUCAGAAUCCCUCGAUGUUAAAUCACCAUCUCGUAGCCAACCACAGGUUUUACAUCCCACACCCCAUAUGUAAAAUAACAUUAGGUAAAUGCAUUACCUAACAUUCUCCACAAGUGUGAUUAUUGAGCAAUACUCUGCGUCUGGCUUUGGGUGUAAGAGCCCCUGGAAGAACCUGGGUAGGUGUUGCAAGAGUUACGGUCCCAUACUGUUUUUGUGCUGACCUAAUUUACAAAGUCCUUCCCAUGAGAAAUUAUAGCACAGCCACAGGCAAACUCAGUAGCAGGGCUCUCAGUUUUUCCAUUGCCCUGAUUUUUUACGAGGAAUUUCAAAGGGUCUCCCAUAAGGAGCAUAAUUAAAGACUGAGAGCCUUGUGUUGGUUCACAGUGCUCUGGCUGUACUUGUUCCGGUGAUGUCAUGCCACACUCCAGGCUCUUCACUGAAAGAUCCCCUCCGGGUGCUUUCCUCCUGGAAUCUGACUCUUCUCUAGAGUGGAACAUGCAACUCAGCUUUCUGUACUCCACAAAACACCCCAGAUUGCCUUGUAUUAUUUAAAUGGGCAGUGCUCAUCCCUCCUGCCCAUAGAAAUGAACCACAGCAUUCAGUGAAAACACUCUGUAUUUUACAUGACGUGUGGGAUCUCUGAGGAUUUGUUUGAUUUGCUGUAUAUGAGCCCAGAAAUUUUGAAGAGUCAAGUGUUUUCCCCCAGUUGUUGCCAAUGGGGUGUUUUGCCGCAGCUGGGUGAAUGUGGACCCAUUCCUUUUAUCUGUAGGCAUGUCUGCCUAGCCACUCCCUAAAGAACAUUGCUCGUUGCUGCCCUCACCUGCCUCAGGCAGCAGUUUAUAUUUGCAGAUUAGUUCAAAGGGGAAAUACCAUGAACCCCCUUUUUAUGGAAAUGUCUUCUUUUCUCUUACUCAGGGAGCUUCUUUCCUGUGCUUUACUACUUUCUAGAACAGCCUGAUUUAACAAAGAGGUAAGAGAACCUCUCUCCAUGAGACACUCAGCUCAAACAUGUACAAACUUGAUGGCUAAAUCCAUACCUGAGCAACUAAAUAAAAGCCUGAGGGCCUUUCCCACAGCAUUGAGUGUGGACUUAGUUAGGAGCUAGAGGUGCUCAGUUCCUCUGAAAAUCAGGUCACUGAUUUUGGUCCCUAAAGAUGUAUAUAAGUGCCUAACUUUAUUCAGCCAGGUUGGAAAAUGUUGGUCUAGGAAUGGAAAAUUGAGAUACUGGCUGCCAAAAGUGAGUGUUAGAAAAUACAGAGUAUUCUGAAGUUUGUAUGGAAGUCAACAGGGGAAUGCAGAUAAGAGCUGUAGGUGUGGAGUAGAACCUGGACACUUAGGGCUUGUCUUCACAGGAAAGUUAGUGCAGAGCAGGCUAGGGUCUGAAUUUAUAGCACACUAGUUUCUCCGCAUGAACUCCUGUGAUGGGGUGAACCAGGCCCUCUGAAGCCCUCUGCUGAAAACUUUUUGUCUUACCACAUCUUGUUUCAGAAAGGAACAGUGGAGGUAAGUCCUCCAAGCUGCAUAGAGAGGUUGCAGGAGAAACAGCCAAUCAGGGCCAGCAGGCUCACAUAGAAGGAGCUGCAGGGCCAGAGACAAUCAGUUGCAGCCUAGAGCCAGAGGAGCCAGGAUGGUGUUCCUGGCGGCUGUCUGAAGAAGUGGCAGGACUGUGAAUAGAGCAGUUGCUGGCAGGGGCCAGGGGAGCAAGAAGGAGCUCCUGGCUGACUGCUGGGACUGCGUACAAGACGUCAGCCCUACGGAUCCCUGAAAGAAGGGUGAACCUAAAGAGACCUUGGAGCCUGGGAGGAUAGUCAUGAAGCCCUGAGACAAGGGGGUACCUGAGAAUCUGGGCCCAGAGUCAGGGACCGAAGACCUGACACAACGUCAUUGGACUUCUGUUUAUUGGUGUCUAUUGUUACAUCAGAAGGGCUGAGACUUUCCAGUGACCUGAUGGGAAGGCUGAGUCACAAGAAGAGAUAGACCACUGCACAAUCAGAGUGGCUGUUGGCAGGGGAGUGCUAGAUGAGGCAAAUCUGCUACACCACACCCUGCCAUGGGUGGACACACCAACGGGGAGUUCACUCUUCUGCAAAGUGCUAUGUGGAAUAGCCCUGUGUGAUGACCUCGAGCUAAGACCACCUGGAAGAAGUCAGACUCACAAUCUUUCCUGGGCCUGUCUGCCCUAUUUAUGGGCCAGGCAAGGAAGAGUUAAAGGCCUGGAAAAUCAAGGCAGCUGGAAUAUGUCAGUCUACCAGGCCCAGCUGCUUCACUUGCUAAGGAGGAAGAGGAAGACUGCAGCAGAGCGAGGAAGACGUUACCCUGGCCAGAGGGGAGAGUGGGCUGUUCAGACUGAGAAGGCUUUUGGGUAUUUUGAGAUUUUGUUUCCUGGAAAGGCAGCUCUUUAUUUUGGGUAUGUAAGAGCUCACAAUGUGACAUUCCUGAAGAAACCCAAGGCAAUCUAAUUAGGUAGUGUGUGUAGUAUUCUGUUUAUGAGCAAAGAUUGUGGGCUUCAUAAAUACAACAUGUGAGUGGUAUUUGUUCUGGAGGAAAGGUGGAAGGGAAAUUGAAGUCACUGAAAGAGAGAUUCAGGAACCCCAAUCAGAUUGUGACCAAAGGGAAUGAUCACCAGAAGAUUCCUUUGAUGGGACAGAGGUGGAAAAUGAAGGAAGAUGGAGGGAUAUGAAUGGGCAAACCUUAUUUUUGGUAUUAACUAACGUUUAGUGCUUGACUUUGAAACCUUAAUGUUCUUUUAAUGUAAAUUUUUUGGAUGCAGUUUUCUGAGGUUUUUAUUAGAGCAUAAGCUUUCCAGCGAUUUGUUCGGAUACAGACUAACACAGAUGCUACUCUGAAACCUAAGGUUUUUAUAAAACUUUAACAUUUUAAAAAAAUAUAUCACAUGGAAACAGAUUGAUCCCUGCCAUGGGGUCCACUCAUCACAGGUGGUGCCUCCUCCUGGGUGCUCUGGGGAUUAGUUCUUUCCAGGCCCAAGGCCCUCUUCUGCUGCUCACUGCACGCCCUGCUGCUGCUGCACUGUCUCGCUCUCUCUCUCACUCUCUGUGGCUCAGGGUGCUCCCUCUCUGUGACUUGGCCCUCCUGCCAGGUCACUGUGCAUGUUUCCCUCUUCUUGGGGGAAGGGGAAACCUUUCCUUACCAGAAGUUUCAGGCAGUCUUCCCAUUCACUGCUCCAGGGUGCCACUUCUUCAAUGGCUGGUAGAGGAAUCCAGGCCCAUCCUCUACUCUGGGUUCUGGCUCAGGCACCCUCUAAUCAGUAGUCAAGGUCUGCACCAUCCUGAACCUUGCUGCCUUUUCCCUGAGCCUUUGCUACACCUUCUAGCUCCCCCACUCUGGGUUUACCAGCCCUAACUCCCUCCUCUCAGGGAAUAAUUGCAGACUAAUUUCUCUAGCCCCAAACACACCUCCCUUCCCCCAGGGAGUGACUGCAGACUACUUCCCUGCAGCCUCUUUCUGCCACCAGCUCCCUGGCUUUAUAGAAGCCUCAUCUAUUCCUACAUUAGGACUUUCCUCUCAGCCUUCAGCCUAAUAAAUUAAUUGGCCCCUCUGCCCUCUGUUAAUCCCUUCAAGGCGAGUGUGGGGAGCACACCCUGUCACAAUCCCCCACAUGGCUCAUGACCAAGGGUGAGACCUUUAGAUUCACACCCCAGUCCUCUGGCAUUUGAGCUAACAAAGUAAUGGAGCAGUAAAAGGCUAUUAUCUACUAUGAAGACCUGCCAUCACAUUUGGGUUUCAUGCCUAUUUGCUGACAACAAAGGAAUGCCAAGACUCAGGAAUCCGGGUUUAAUUCUAGAUUCUGUAGGGGGGCAUGUCCAGUGGUUGCAGACCAUUCUGCCACUCACCUCACUUUUUCCAGUCACAUUCUGCUCCUGUCUUCCCCUCUCACCAGCUCCUGCCACCCCUUUUUCAUCCCUAGCUCCUGCCCAUGGUUCCCCUAACCCGUGUCUUUGUCUUUCCCCCAGUCUUCUCCUUCCCCUGUUCCUCAAUCUUGCUCCUGUCCCCCUUCUGGUCUUCUUCCCUCCUCUGUCUCUGAUUCUUCCCCCUUGUUCUUGCCUCUGUCCCCCCUUCUGUUUCCUGUUCCCACCCUUAUCACCCCAAACCCCCCUCACCCCACUGCAUUUGAAUAAGGGGCUUUCUUCCUUCCCCUCUUCCUCCUAACUGUCCAGACACCAGCAGGGAGGCAUUGCAAGCACAGGAGAGAUGGUGACCCUGAUUUCCUCUGGUCCAAUGUCUGACAUCACAAAAAUCUCUGGAAGCCAGGACAGGAAAUCACAGGGAAAGUUCUGCUUGGCCUCUGCAGGCCAGGGUGGCGCACACUCCAUCACUUUGUGGGAAUAGUUCAUUCACAGUCUGGGUGUACAUAGGAGCAGGGAGGGGAUGGAGCAUGCUCAGUGCAGGUUGAAUCUUUGGAGAAUUUAGCUGCAAAAAUCUAACAGGUCUCAACUGAGUAUGGGCAAACAGAUUUUUCAGAGACUUAAAAUUUGACCAAAUUUGGGUGGUUUGUCACAGGAGUGGCAAAAGACACAUCCCUGGCACCAGGGCAUUUCCUCCUGCCAAUUUCAUGUCCCUGCUCCAAAGCAUAGUGGCACUAGAGUUUUUCAACCCAAUGAUUGUAAAAAAACAAUUAACAUGGACAAAACAGUGCAUUUUCCCCCUUGUUAGUUGAAAUGCCUGAACCAUUUGAUCUGAAAAUUAAAAUGAGCCUGAGACACACCUGAUACGGAAGUUUCAGCCUAAAUGGUUCAUGUUUGGCAAAGUUAUAAGCAACUGAAACAUGGUCUUAUAAUAGAAAAUGGUGGGCACCCUUCAGUAUAGUGUCUCUACCUGCGCCACCCACCGUAUUCAUAAAUUCAUAGAGUUUCAGGCCAGAAAGCACCAUUAGAUCAGCUAGUCUGACCUCCGGUGCCACACAGGCCAUUAUGGGUUUUCAUUUAACCCAGUUAUUCCCAAUAACUUGAGAGCAUAUUUCCCAGAAAGGCAUCAGCAAGUCUUGAUUUGAAACCUCAAGAGCUGGGGAAUCUAUCACUUCCCUAGGGAGUUUGUUCCAAAGGUUGAUCAUCCUCCCUGGCACAAGUUUGCAUCUUCUUUCUAAUUUGAAUUUAUCUGGCUUCAGAUUCCAUCCAUUUGUUCUGCCUUGCUCUACUAGUAUUUUCUUUCUAUCCUCUCCCCCCUUCAUAACGUGUGAAGAUGGCAUCAAAGCUUUUUUGUUUUCCUUUUUUAAGAAAAAAAAAAGGCAGGGGGGAUUUUUUUACUAGUUUUUUACUAGUUUUGUCACUUCCCCUCCUCCCCUCCCAUCUGGUCUUUUUACCCUGAUGCUGAGCAGAGUAAAUGGGAAUCAGGCCUGUUAAGUCCCAACUUUCCUGUUAUUGCUGCAGGACAGGCAGCAUGGGGUGGGAUAAUGAUCUCACAAUAAUUUGAGAGCUGAGCUGUGGGGUUGCCAACCAGUUUGUGAUGUCAUGUCCCACAGGUAUGCUAAUCCUCCUGCAGAAAUUAGCACCUACUGACUAACAUGGAAAGUCCAUUUCCCAAACAUGAUCCACAUGUUGGGUUUUGCACCAGGAAUGAAACACUGCAGGGAAUUGUCCUUGAAAAACAGACCCAGCCCCAGAGUCCUCAUACUGUAGUGUGGGGGUGUCGCCACGCUCUGAGAUUGAUGGGAAGGAAUUGGUGGGCGAAGCCAGGACACCCCCACCCACCAUGCUGGAAGCAGAGGGUGGGACAGGAAGUAUAAAAGACAGGCCCAGCUGAUCAGUCAGGCUGGAGCUGCCAAAGGUGACAGACACCCCCUGCCCACCUUGAGGCUGGAGCCUGAAGAAGAUUCCUGUAGUGCUGAGGAUGGGUCACAGCUGCCUGAACUGCCUGCCAUCAGAGAAGCCAAGCAGCUGCUGGGACUGCUGCUGGCGGUGUACCCCGAGGAGAUGGAGGACAAUCCUGAGAUACAGGUACACUCUGAGGGGGAAUGUAGGAAGUAGCCCAGGGAUACCAGACUAUAGUCCAGUUGUGGUGUUGCCUGAAUAUAGGUCAGCGUGUUUUGGGCAGAUCCCUGUCGACCCAGUGGUGGAACAUUACACCACUGUUAGGGCCCUGGGCUGGGACCUAGUGGAGUAGGGUGGGCCCAAGUCCCCCUACCUCCUACUGCCAACCCCACCCCUGAGGUGACAGCCUCCCCACCUUAGUCCAGGAGGCCUGCAUUUGUCUGCCAUCUGCCAGAGCUAGGAUAUCAGACUGAUGCUGUGCCCUGCUUGUGGGCUUGAGACCCCUAGACUCUUCGGUGCUGUGCCCUGCUGCAGUCAGUGCCCUGGGCUACCUGCUGCAUGGCCCUGCUUAGAGGGCCCAGGGCCUAAGAGACAGCUAAUCCCCCCCUCUAAUCUUUGCCUAGAGAGGGUUCUGAGCAUGUUGGGGCAUGGCCACCCUCUGAGAUGGAUGAGGAGGAACAGCCUUGCACUCCUACGAUGUGUCUGUUUCCUUGAAAUGUAGGAGUGUCCCUGCCACCGCCUCUUUUGGGUGAGGAAAGAGGGUGCUCAGGAGCCACCAGCUCACCUUGGCAGUGGGAUUGCUUAGUCUCUCUCCCACACUCUGCCUAUUGUUAGUUGCUGCCUCUGCCUGUGAUGGGGUAUGUAAGCCCCACACUGGGGAACCAAGGGUUAAUAAGCAGCGCUGUGCCCAGAAGGCCCCACCUCAGGUGCACUCACAAUGGAAGCAGAGCUCAGAAAGGAGCAGCCUGGUUCAGUCAGGGGAGGCAGAGAAGGGAGCAGUCCUAAGCUGGUAGCUCCUGCACAGAGACUAUGGGAGCUCCACACCGCCUGGACUGGACCCCGCUACUGAGCCAGCAGAGGCCCCAUGGAGACUGGGAAUAGAGAGCCACAAUUGGAGAAGAACCUCUGGAUGAUGGCCAGGAGGACACCCGCACCCAUGAGUCCAUAAACUGGCCCCUGCUGUGACUUUGGAGGGGCAGAGGCUGCGGUAGGAAGUGCCCAGGGAGCAGGCAUGAUGGCUUCCACCCCAGGCUGCAUAUACAACCUGCUUCUCAUAGGCUCUGGGUCUGAGCCCUCUGGAGCAGGGAGAGCCCAAGUUCCCCUACUACCUACCCCACAGGCUCUUGUUUCUGGGCAGUGCAGCCAUAGACCCUUGCCACUGGGCAACACUCAGUUCACAACAGCAGUCAAAAAGGCUAACAGUUAGGAACUAUUAGGAAAGGGAUAGAAAAUAAGAUGAAAAAAUAUCUUAAUGCCUCUAUAUGAACGCAUGGUGGACCCACACUUUGGAUAUGUAGUUUUAGGAUUUUAUGUUUUAUGUAUUUUGUAUAAUUUAGAAUGAAGGACAAAGAAUAAUAAUGUAGCAUGUAUUAAAUAUAUAGAUGUAUAAUAUGAUUUGACCAUAUUCUACCAGCCACCCUUUCUGAAAGCAGAAAGGAAUGGCCUACUGUGCCAUUGGUAAAGAUGCAUCAGCCAGAAUCUUGAAUCUGAAGAUGAUUUCAGGGCAGUAACAGACCUUUAAGGUCACCACUUUGUUUUAGGUUUAGCAUUUUGAAAUAAGUAAAAGAAUGCAAUUAUUGUUUUCUCCUGCAUUGCAAUUUGAUGUUCCUGUUCAAAUGCUUUGUGUAAAUCAAUCCUGUUUUGUGUGUGAAUGAGAAAUGUGUGUGUUAGAAGAUAAAUGUGAAGGCCAUCACCAGACCAGAUGUUCUAGGGAGGAAUAGAGGACGGACAUAAAGCCACCAUGACAGGUUUCAGAGUAGCAGCCGUGUUAGUCUGUAUUCGCAAAAAGAAAAGAAGUACUUGUGGCACCUUUAGAGACUAACAAAUUUAUUUGAGCAUAAGCUUUCGUGAGCUAUUGCAACACGCCCCUAUUGAGAUGUCAGAGGAGGGCAGAUUGAUGACUCUAAAAGAUGUGGCAUGCACCCAUCAAUAGGGACAAGAUAGUUAUGAUCAAAACCAGCAUGGGGUAACUCCAGAAGAGACUAAUGAA